GGCCCCGACCCACGCAAUACCUAUUCCCUUUCCCCUUCUCCUUCCCCGUCACACCGCCGUCAGGUCUCCCGCUCCGGCGACGGCGCCCCUUCCGCCUCCGCCUCCGCCUCCUCCUCGCCGACCACGCCCCUCCUCCAAUCUCCCACGCAUCCAAACCACUCUCUCCCCUCUCCCACCCGCACCUCCUGCGCCUGCGAGGAGCGAUUCGUCGAGGAACCGCUGAGCAAGGCCAUCGACGCGUGCUGGAUCCGGUGUCUCUAUUUCUCUCUCGUGCUCGAUCCCGAUCCACCCCCUUCUCUCGGCGCGGCGCAUGCGGGAAAGCUCGCUGCUGCGGUGGGCCUUGACGGCGGCGAGCAGGGAGCCGGCGAGGUAGACCACAAGGGCCGUCAUGGGCUCCACCUGCGCCCUCUUGCCGGCGGACUGCUGGUCGCCUCGGCCUCCCGCGGCAUCUCCGACUGGCACAAGCUGCAGGUCCUGGGUGAGCCCGGAGAAGAAGCUGAUUGCCGAGUGCCAGGCGGCUGACCCGGGGGUGCUCAUCAACGCCUACAGCUUCUACGGGCUCCCAAGAGUGCAUCCACAUCACGGAGCAGAAGCUGGUUGCCGAGUGCUAGGCGGCUGACCAGGCGAGGUAGUCCCGCUUCCCACCCCGGUCUGCAUGCUCGGUGAUGCCAAGCAUGUGAGGGAAGUAUCUACCAUUUACUGGUGCUGCUAAGCAAUUCUCCUUCUCUCUAUAACAUAUUUGAUGGUCAUGAUGUACAAACAAGUAAUGUAUGGUUCUUACUGCAAUAGGGAUUGUCGAUUGGUGCGAAACUAGUGAAUUUCAAAUUGUAUAACUACCAAGAGGUAGUCACGCUAGAUGAGGAUGACACUGGAAUCCGGUGGUCGAAUUUCUUGUUAUCAGGCAGUGUUCAAUUUCUAUCUCUGCCUACCUGCAUGCUAUGACAGUUGCCCUGUAUUGCUGCCAUUUGAAGAUUUUUAUGCUUACCAUGCUGCAUCAUAACCUUCAUGCCUGGCUAGUGGCUACUAUGGCUUGACGGACUACCUCCUCAGCCACUACCUCAGCUUCCCACACAACAUGAUGACAGUGGUUUUGCUACAACCGUGGUGGUGGUGGCGGCCCCUAACUUGGUUCUGCCUUAAUGUGCUAAGAACAUGAAGCGUAUGGAGAUUAUCUCUUGCUCUCUGAGAUGGUGCUGGCCGUCGAGCUAGGUUGCUGUGAUGCACAACCACGUCGGUUAUUUCCAAACGGAGGGAGUAGUAACUAAUGUUGUUGCAGUUGAAUAAUCGUUGGUGCUAUCAUCAAUCAAUGUGGUGCAUAUGUAGCCGGGCUUUAGGGAGGAGGGUCUAGAGCCUAGAGCCUCCGUGAAGUUUGAUCUUGCGGAGGAGGGCGAGAAGGUGAAUGGAGCUUGUAGUGCCGCUUGGUCGAAAUUGGGUUGCUGCUGAUGCGAUUGAUUUCUGGUGGUGUGGACGGGUGCCUUGUGCCACUUUGUUUGUUUAUACGAUCUUUGCUUUGCAGGACAACACCCACCCAUAUAACUUGUGUGGACUUUGACGAUGAUCCGGCUGUGGCAGUACCAGUUUGUGCUGUAGGGGCGUUGCCAAUACUUUUUGUUGCUGUUGGGUGUAGGUCGAAUGUAAAUUGUUGAGUUUGUCAGCAGGGUGUCGGAAAUUUUGGAUUGUAAACUGAAUAAGUCAAUGUAAACAAGUAGGGACAGAUUGGCUGGUUGAACCCUUGUUUCCCCAUGAAUGAAUGAAUGUAUUUUUGGUUAUUCCCCA